rnacentral:rRNA from 1 species
GGUUAAGCGACUAAGCGUACACGGUGGAUGCCCUGGCAGUCAGAGGCGAUGAAGGACGUGCUAAUCUGCGAUAAGCGUCGGUGAGGUGAUAUGAACCGUUAUAACCGGCGAUUUCCGAAUGGGGAAACCCAGUGUGUUUCGACACACUAUCAUUAACUGAAUCCAUAGGUUAAUGAGGCGAACCGGGGGAACUGAAACAUCUAAGUACCCCGAGGAAAAGAAAUCAACCGAGAUUCCCCCAGUAGCGGCGAGCGAACGGGGAGGAGCCCAGAGCCUGAAUCAGUGUGUGUGUUAGUGGAAGCGUCUGGAAAGGCGUGCGAUACAGGGUGACAGCCCCGUACACAAAAAUGCACAUAUUGUGAGCUCGAUGAGUAGGGCGGGACACGUGGUAUCCUGUCUGAAUAUGGGGGGACCAUCCUCCAAGGCUAAAUACUCCUGACUGACCGAUAGUGAACCAGUACCGUGAGGGAAAGGCGAAAAGAACCCCGGCGAGGGGAGUGAAAAAGAACCUGAAACCGUGUACGUACAAGCAGUGGGAGCCUCUUAAUGGGGUGACUGCGUACCUUUUGUAUAAUGGGUCAGCGACUUAUAUUCUGUAGCAAGGUUAACCGAAUAGGGGAGCCGAAGGGAAACCGAGUCUUAACUGGGCGUUAAGUUGCAGGGUAUAGACCCGAAACCCGGUGAUCUAGCCAUGGGCAGGUUGAAGGUUGGGUAACACUAACUGGAGGACCGAACCGACUAAUGUUGAAAAAUUAGCGGAUGACUUGUGGCUGGGGGUGAAAGGCCAAUCAAACCGGGAGAUAGCUGGUUCUCCCCGAAAGCUAUUUAGGUAGCGCCUCGUGAAUUCAUCUCCGGGGGUAGAGCACUGUUUCGGCAAGGGGGUCAUCCCGACUUACCAACCCGAUGCAAACUGCGAAUACCGGAGAAUGUUAUCACGGGAGACACACGGCGGGUGCUAACGUCCGUCGUGAAGAGGGAAACAACCCAGACCGCCAGCUAAGGUCCCAAAGUCAUGGUUAAGUGGGAAACGAUGUGGGAAGGCCCAGACAGCCAGGAUGUUGGCUUAGAAGCAGCCAUCAUUUAAAGAAAGCGUAAUAGCUCACUGGUCGAGUCGGCCUGCGCGGAAGAUGUAACGGGGCUAAACCAUGCACCGAAGCUGCGGCAGCGACACUAUGUGUUGUUGGGUAGGGGAGCGUUCUGUAAGCCUGUGAAGGUGGCCUGUGAGGGUUGCUGGAGGUAUCAGAAGUGCGAAUGCUGACAUAAGUAACGAUAAAGCGGGUGAAAAGCCCGCUCGCC